rnacentral:rRNA from 1 species
UACGUAGGGUGCAAGCGUUGUCCGGAAUUAUUGGGCGUAAAAGAGCUCGUAGGCGGUUUGUUGCGUCGGCUGUGAAAUCCCCGAGGCUCAACCUCGGGUCUGCAGUCGAUACGAGCAAACUAGAGUAUUGCAGGGGAGACUGGAAUUCCUGUGUAGCGGUGAAAUGCGCAGAUAUCAGGAGGAACACCGAUGGCGAAGGCAGGAUCUCUGGGCCGUAACUGACGCUGAGGAGCGAAAGCCAUGGGGAGCGAACAGG